GGCCAACAAGCGAUUACAGGAACAUUGUGUGUCAACAGCUUUAGUAAAUAGAGUCAGCUACUCCGUUAAUUGUGAUUAUUAAUCUGAAUUUCAUACCAAGCUUGUUAGCAUGCGACUCUUUAUUUUCAAUUACUUCAGAAAGUUGAGCUUGAGAUUUUCAUUGGCGUGGUCUGACAGACAUCAAUUCUCUUUUUUAAUUGGAUUCUUUAGUUCUCCCUAAAUCAAUUUAAUGGUCAUUAUGUAAAUUUCUUCAAAUUUUGACUAAAAGGCAAUUUUUUGCAUAACAAAUUUGUAUUGGUGAUCAUAUCAAUACUUAGAUGUAAUGCAUCAUCGGAAAAGAAUGGUCCUCUUUCCAUACCACCCUGCCCCUUCCCUCCUGUCUGUUACCACAACUAUAUUUCCUUCUCCGGUUUGGGAAUGGAGCUUCUCUGCACUAAGCUGACAGAGUGCAACAUCAAUAUGUCUGGCUUGCAUUUUUUAACUACAACACCUUAACAUGCUAUGCUGAAUAAUGAAUUGGUUAUAGUCCAUUAUGCUACAACACCUUAG
rnacentral:misc_RNA from 1 species